GAAUUUAUGAUCACUUGGUUGGUUAGGUCAUGGUGUUGCUAACACCAAGGUUGCAGGUUCGAUCCCUGUAUGGGACA